UCCAGACUCCUACGGGAGGCAGCAGUGGGGGAUAUUGCACAAUGGGGGAAACCCUGAUGCAGCGACGCCGCGUGGGUGAAGAAGUAUUUCGGUAUGUAAAGCCCUAUCAGCAGGGAAGAAAGAAGACGGUACCUGACUAAGAAGCCCCGGCUAACUACGUGCCAGCAGCCGCGGUAAUACGUAGGGGGCGAGCGUUAUCCGGAUUCACUGGGUGUAAAGGGAGCGUAGACGGCCGUGCAAGCCAGGAGUGAAAGCCCGGGGCCCAACCCCGGGACUGCUCUUGGAACUGUGCGGCUGGAGUGCGGGAGGGGCAGGCGGAAUUCCUGGUGUAGCGGUGAAAUGCGUAGAUAUCAGGAGGAACACCGGCGGCGAAGGCGGCCUGCUGGACCGCGACUGACGUUGAGGCUCGAAAGCGUGGGGAGCGAACAGGAUUAGAUACCCUCGUAUAA
rnacentral:rRNA from 1 species